rnacentral:rRNA from 1 species
UACUGUAGGGGGCCGGCCUACACAUGCAAGUCGAGCGGAUGACGGGAGCUUGCUCCUUGAUUCAGCGGCGGACGGGUGAGUAAUGCCUAGGAAUCUGCCUGGUAGUGGGGGACAACGUUUCGAAAGGAACGCUAAUACCGCAUACGUCCUACGGGAGAAAGCAGGGGACCUUCGGGCCUUGCGCUAUCAGAUGAGCCUAGGUCGGAUUAGCUAGUUGGUGGGGUAAUGGCUCACCAAGGCGACGAUCCGUAACUGGUCUGAGAGGAUGAUCAGUCACACUGGAACUGAGACACGGUCCAGACUCCUACGGGAGGCAGCAGUGGGGAAUAUUGGACAAUGGGCGAAAGCCUGAUCCAGCCAUGCCGCGUGUGUGAAGAAGGUCUUCGGAUUGUAAAGCACUUUAAGUUGGGAGGAAGGGCAGUAAGCUAAUACCUUGCUGUUUUGACGUUACCGACAGAAUAAGCACCGGCUAACUCUGUGCCAGCAGCCGCGGUAAUACAGAGGGUGCAAGCGUUAAUCGGAAUUACUGGGCGUAAAGCGCGCGUAGGUGGUUCGUUAAGUUGGAUGUGAAAGCCCCGGGCUCAACCUGGGAACUGCAUCCAAAACUGGCGAGCUAGAGUACGGUAGAGGGUGGUGGAAUUUCCUGUGUGGCGGUGAAAUGCGUAAUAUAGGAAGGAGCACCAGUGGCGAAGGCGACCACCUGGACUGAUACUGACACUGAGGUGCGAAAGCGUGGGGAGCAAACAGGAGUAGAUACCCUGGUAGUCCACGCCGUACACGAUGUCAACUAGCCGUUGGAAUCCUUGAGAGUUUAUUGGCGCACCUAACGCAUUAAGUUGACCGCCUGGGGGAGUACAGCCGCACGGUUGGAACUCACAUGAAUUGACUGGCGCGCGCACAGAAGAGCAGCAUGUGGUGUUAAUUCUAAUCAACGCAAGAACCUUACCAUGCCUUGACAUGCACAGAACUUUCCAGUACAUAGGAUUGGGGGCUGUCGCUA